CCUACGGGAGGCUGCAGUGGGGAAUAUUGGACAAUGGGCGAAAGCCUGAUCCAGCCAUGCCGCGUGUGUGAAGAAGGCCUUCGGGUUGUAAAGCACUUUCAGUGGGGAAGAAAGCCUUGGGGCUAAUACCCUCGAGGAAGGACAUCACCCACAGAAGAAGCACCGGCUAACUCCGUGCCAGCAGCCGCGGUAAUACGGAGGGUGCGAGCGUUAAUCGGAAUUACUGGGCGUAAAGCGCGCGUAGGCGGUCUGAUAAGCCGGUUGUGAAAGCCCCGGGCUCAACCUGGGAACGGCAUCCGGAACUGUCAGGCUAGAGUGCAGGAGAGGAAGGUAGAAUUCCCGGUGUAGCGGUGAAAUGCGUAGAGAUCGGGAGGAAUAACAGUGGCGAAGGCGGCCUUCUGGACUGACACUGACGCUGAGGUGCGAAAGCGUGGGUAGCAAACAGGAUUAGAUACCCCAGUAGUC
rnacentral:rRNA from 1 species